GUGCUGGCAUUGGCAGCACAGAUAAUAAGACUGGAACAACACAGAGAUUAGCGUGGCUCCUGUGCAGAAUGGCAUGCAGAUUCGUGAGCCAUUCCACAGUUAA
ensembl:snRNA Gm22221 U6 spliceosomal RNA